rnacentral:rRNA from 1 species
GAACGCUUGCGGCGUGCUUAACACAUGCAAGUCGAACGAGAAAGGGGACUUCGGUUCCUGAGUAAAGUGGCGCACGGGUGAGUAACGCGUAGAUAAUCUACCCUAGUGUACGGGACAACAUCGGGAAACUGGUGCUAAUACCGAAUACGCUUCUUUAGAUGCGAAUUUUUAGAAGGAAAGGUGGCCUCUUCAUGAAAGCUACUGCACAAGGAUGAGUCUGCGUACCAUUAGCUAGUUGGUGGGGUAAUGGCCUACCAAGGCUUCGAUGGUUAGCGGGUCUGAGAGGAUGAUCCGCCACACUGGCACUGGAACACGGGCCAGACUCCUACGGGAGGCAGCAGUGAGGAAUUUUGCACAAUGGGGGCAACCCUGAUGCAGCGACGCCGCGUGAGUGAUGAAGGCCCUUGGGUCGUAAAGCUCUGUCAAUAGGGAAGAAAUGUCUAAUGGUUAAUACCCAUAAGAUUUGACGGUACCUAUAAAGGAAGCACCGGCUAAAUCCGUGCCAGCAGCCGCGGUAAUACGGAUGGUGCGAGCGUUGUUCGGAAUUACUGGGCGUAAAGGGCGCGUAGGCGGCGUGUCAAGUCAGAUGUGAAAGCCCACGGCUCAACCGUGGAAGUGCAUCUGAAACUGGCAUGCUUGAGUACUGGAGAGGAAAGUGGAAUUCCUGGUGUAGAGGUGAAAUUCGUAGAUAUCAGGAGGAAUACCGGUGGCGAAGGCGACUUUCUGGACAGAUACUGACGCUGAGGCGCGAAAGCGUGGGGAGCAAACAGGAUUAGAU